CUCGCGAUGCAUCUAGAUUGACUUUGAUCCUGGCUCAGAAUGAACGUUGGCGGCGUGGAUUAGGCAUGCAAGUCGAGCGGGUAUAGCAAUAUAUCAGCGGCGAAAGGGAGAGUAACGCGUAGCUACGUACCCCGGAGUCCAGAAUAGCCAGCCGAAAGGCUGGGUAAUGCUGGAUGAUGUCUCCGGACUAAAGGUGUGAUUCCGCUUUGGGAGCGGGCUGCGUUGUACUAGCUUGUUGGUAGGGUAAUGGCCUACCAAGGCGAUGAUGCAUACCGGGCGUGAGAGCGUGGCCCGGCUCACUGGGACUGAGACACUGCCCAGACACCUACGGGUGGCUGCAGUCGAGAAUCUUCGGCAAUGAGCGCAAGCUUGACCGAGCGACGCCGCGUGCGGGAUGAAGGCCUUCGGGUUGUAAACCGCGAAAGUAGGGAGGAAAUCGCUAGGGGUUCUCCCCUAGUGUUGACCUAUCUUCAGUAAGGACGGGCUAAGUUCGUGCCAGCAGCCGCGGUAAUACGAACCGUCCAAACGUUAUUCGGAUUUAUUGGGCUUAAAGGGUAUGUAGGCGGCCCUUCAAGUCGGGUGUGAAAGCCCUCGGCUCAACCGAGGAACUGCGCCCGAUACUGUGGGGUUCGAGGG
rnacentral:rRNA from 1 species